AAACCAGUGACAUCCUCAAAAGACGCUGAUGUAAAUGAAAGUGGAGGUUUAGCAUCAACUGCUGGUGUUUUAACAUCAAUGAUCAGAUGGAAAACGAAAAAGAAACUGCAUACAGGAACUCGAGAAACUCGUGAAAAGUAUCCGGGAUAUUUAGAUCUGUUCACUCGACUAUCACGUGAAUUAAAUACAUCAGUGCCAUUUCCGAUUCUUCUUCAAACUCGACGAGAGGCUUUGCCAAUUAUUCAGAACAUCGCCAAAGCAUACAAGUCUACAUUAGGUCUCCAUCAUCAAAUGACUCGACAAGCCUGUGCCAAGGUGGAGAAGUUGCGGUCAGAAUUACAAGAUAGCGAUGUGUUUCUGUGAUUUAGUAUCAUCAGAUGAUAGAACAACUUGGGCAUAGAUGGAGAAAAUACGAGCCGAAAUACAUGAUAGUGAUGAGUUUCUGUGAUGAUAGGAUCAGUUUGUAACACGCAAGGUUGACGAUUCAUUUAUGAUCAGAAUUACAGGAUAGCUGUGUUUUUCUGUGAUCAUCAAAAUAAUGAUUGAACAAGCAUGUGUGUAGAUGGAGAGGUUCAAUCAGGACUACAUGUUACGGUGGUGAGGUUCUUCAUCAUGUCAGACUGAACAUUAUGGAAGAAUACUUUCCCGCAAAAUCGUUGAACAUUUACGUUCAGAUUUAUACACAUAGAAACUAUUUGUUUUUCAGAAUUUUAGUUGUUACUGAAAAUCUGAUGGAAAUAGUAAACUUAGAGUGGGUGGACUUAAAUUGAUUCUAACAAACAAAACAAUGAUGUACUAACAUCUAAUAUUAUUUUUGUGUUGCAUCUGUCCCAGUUGAAAAGUAAAAAUUGAUGUACAAUGAUAUCACAAUAACAUUGUAUGAAAUUUAUACGAGGUAGGUCCUUCACUUAGGAAAUGGCUUAAACCUCUUUUGUGAAUGUGAGCAUUAAUAUAUACCAUGUCCACUUUAUUAAAUAUUUCACUACAAAAUGAAAGUUACUUUGGACCGGACAAAUUUGACUGGCCAAAAAAUAAGUUUUCACUUUGUUUGAGUUCAAGAUUCAGAGUAAAAAACUAAACAAGUGGUACUAUUCUGAACACCCUGAAGUUUUCAUCUAUUCCAAGCUCAAGUAGUUUGAGAUGGAUGUGUUGAGCAGAGAAAGAUGAUGAUGACCAUAUGGAAAGAACAUGGGAUCUGGAACAAGGAUGGUGAAAGAUGAAUGAGGAAGAUAAAAGAUUACAUUGAAUGAUAUGAUGAAGGAAAGCAGCAAGGUAGGUCUAAAGAUGGAGCAUUUUCAAAGCAGAAAGAAGAGGAAGGAGGGAAUGUAGUCCAUAAAGUGAAGAGUUAAGAACCCCUCAUAAGAGGGAAAUGCUGACUGGAAUGAAUUAUGAAAUCUGUCAAUGUUGAACCACUAGAUUUGAAGAAUAUAUUUUGAAUUCAAAUUUGUUUCUCUUUGAAGAACGAAUAAUGAAACAAAUAAGAACAAAGUAUUACUGAACAGCAAACACAUAAUAUAUUUGACAUCCAUCACUGAGCAUUCAAGUUACACAGUCCACUAAAACAUUUUCUUAAAAUUAUUUAUAAAAGUAAUAUGACAUAAAUAUACAUCUUUUUGAAAGAGGAAAAAUAAAAUGUUACAGUUUGUACAUGCAUCUCAACAAAACCAUAUUGCGCCCUGUAAAAGUUACUUUUAAUAGUAACAUCUACAAACAUUCAAGUAUGCUUCUGACUGACCAAUCACAUGG
rnacentral:lncRNA from 1 species